rnacentral:piRNA from 1 species
ACACCAGUGCUGUAAACCCU